rnacentral:rRNA from 1 species
UACGUAGGGACCAAGCGUUGUCCGGAUUUAUUGGGCGUAAAGAGCGUGUAGGCGGCCAGAUAGGUCCGUUGUGAAAACUGGAGGCUUAACCUCCAGCUGUCGAUGGAAACCAUCUGGCUAGAGUCCGGAAGAGGAGAGUGGAAUUCCUGGUGUAGCGGUGAAAUGCGCAGAUAUCAGGAAGAACACCCGUGGCGAAGGCGGCUCUCUGGGACGGUACUGACGCUGAGACGCGAAAGCGUGGGGAGCGAACAGG